rnacentral:rRNA from 1 species
CGAAAGCCUGACGGAGCAACGCCGCGUGAGGGAUGAAGGCCUCUGGGCUGUAAACCUCUUUUAUCAAGGAAGAAGAUCUGACGGUACUUGAUGAAUAAGCCACGGCUAAUUCCGUGCCAGCAGCCGCGGUAAUACGGGAGUGGCAAGCGUUAUCCGGAAUUAUUGGGCAUAAAGCGUCCGCAGGCGGCCCUUCAAGUCUGCUGUUAAAAAGUGGAGCUUAACUCCAUCAUGGCAGUGGAAACUGUUGGGCUUGAGUGUGGUAGGGGCAGAGGGAAUUCCCGGUGUAGCGGUGAAAUGCGUAGAUAUCGGGAAGAACACCAGUGGCGAAGGCGCUCUGCUGGGCCAUCACUGACGCUCAUGGACGAAAGCCAGGGGAGCG